UGGGUUGCCCUCCUCCAGGGAAUCUUCCUGACCCAGGGAUUGAACUCAUGUCUCUUAUGCCUCCUGCAUUGGCAAGUGGGUUCUUUACCACUAGCACCACCACUAAAAGGGCAGAGGUCACUUAAUUGCUGUAUGGGGGGAAUGGGAGGAUGUGGAGAAGGGGACAGUGCUGACCUCUACCCCCACAUGUUUACUGUCUCAGUGGUCAGUCAGGGCUCUUCCUCAUGGAAUAGAUGCCCUGUUGUUGACUGGGGACCAUCCCCUGAAAUUUAACAAGCCUGUGGCAAAAAACUCUCUCCACCCUAUUUCUUCCUUAUCUCAGCAAAUGGAGGCCUUUUCACUCCAGCAAAACUGGUUUCAUUGCUUACUUCCUCCAAAUUGGUGAGUCCUCUUGUAAAUGUAUUCUUACAUCCUAUGAAGCCACCGUAUAUCUGACUACUGAUUGGUUGUCUUCUAAAUGAGGAAUGCCUUCUUAUGGUUUAUGUGCAAAUACAAUACUGCAGGUACUUAAACAUCAAUAACUGUACAAACAGCAUAGUAAUUGGAAUGGUUGUGGUUAAAAUGAAACUCUCCUAGAAUCCAAUUUAUAAAUCUAGGAAAGGGCUGUUAUUUGUGACUAGGAACUCUGUGUUCAUAGUUUAUAGAAAAUACAGAAAGAUUUUCAAGACCACAUGGCAAAUGCGAGACAGACCUGGAAUUUGAAUCUCAGUCUGUUCCCACAGUGUCUUAGGGUUACUCUGAAAAGCUGCUCUUAGUUCAGUACUGUCGUAUUUCUUUUCAGGAGUAAAAGAAAAAAGAGAAAUGUAUUAGUCCAAGUUCUCUUAUUUUUCCAAGUAGCAAAACAGCAAUUUAUUGGCUUAUGUACUUAGAAGUCUGGGAAGGAGAUCAGGCAUGGCUGGAUCCAGAGGCUCAUUUUUUUUCCUCUCCUGUUUCUGCUCUGCGUUUCUUUGUGUUGGUUUCUUCCUCAGGUACACCACCUCAUAGGCUGACGAAGUGGGGCAGGGGCAGGCUUACUUGGUCUGUAGCGCCCACACACCCUCUGUUAAAAUGGCAAAAAUCUUGGAUUUGAGGAUCCAAGCUGAGUUUGUGAUUUUUAUUGAACCAAUCACCAUGCCCACUCUUGGGGGAGAGGAUUGGGUCAGCCCUAUAGGAACCACUUGAGCUGAGAAUGGGGGUGGAGGUGUUGAUUCUCCAAUGAGACAUAUUCUGGGGUUAAAAACCUCUUUUUACUACAAGAAAAAAAAGGUGGACACAUCCUAUCUUCUCCAUUGUCAACAUUCAUCUACUUGUUCACUCAUUCUCUGGCCGACUGCUGGGUCUUCAGGUGAGUAAGACGCAUUUGCCCCUGGGGGAGCCUAAUGGAUCCUGCGCUCUCAGGAAGGGUGCUUCUGUGCACUCGCGAAGCAUCCUCCGAACUAGAAAGGGGAAAUGCAUCUCCUCCAGGAUGCCCUUUGACACGAAGGAUUUCUGCCAGGACCUGCCAACUAGAGUCCUUUCAGCUUCCCAGUACCUCUCAGUGGGCGCUAAGACAAAGCCAGUGAAGCGCCGGCCCCUGGAGAGGGAGCAGGGAAGGGGAGAGAGCACCUGGGGAGGUCCUAGAGCCCGGUUGUGGGCGCCGCCCACCGGAGACCUGGAGCGCCUGGAGCGCCUGCACGCGGCCUAGAAACGCGAGGUUUGAAGUAACUGCAAGCAGCUUGCGUUCACCACCUGCUUCUGAUUAGCUGGCGGCCAGGUGAGCGCUGGGUCGAGGAGCCAAAACUCCGCGUCGCUGGGAGUGUCUGCUCGUCUGUCCAACCACUUUGCCCACCGCCCCGCCCUGCACAGGUGCCGCGGGGACGGCGGGGACGGCGCCGCGCUCCUUUUCCUUAACUGUUCCUGCGAGGUGACUUCCCUUUUCACUUGUGACCAGUAGAUGGCUCUAUGGCUUUCCUGUAUCUGACACACAUUAGUUGAAUGCUGCUUACUGUAUUCCUGGAGAAGGAGAUGGCGCCCCACUCCAGUACUCUUGCCUGGAGAAUCCCAUGGAGGGAGGAGCCUGUUUGUUCACUCUCAGAGAAACCAGCUGCCAUGCUGUGAGCUGCCCAGCGCAGAGGCCUACAAAGCAAAUAAUGAGGGGAAGCUUCUAGUCAACAGUCAGUAAGGAACUAAGGCCCUCAGUCUGACAACCUUCAAGGAACCAAAUCCUGACAGCACCCAUGUGAGUGAGCCUGGAAGUGAUCCUCCUCCAGGUGAGCCUCAAGAUCACUGCAGCCUGUGAGACCCUGAGCCAGGGGACCCAGCUCAGCCUCUUCUGGAUUCCUGACUCACAGAAACUAUGAUAUAAUAAAAGUGUGUUUUUAUUUUUUUGAACCACUAAA